rnacentral:tRNA from 2 species
GCCCCAAUAGCUCAGUGGUAGAGCAACCGCUUCGUAAGCGGUAGGCCGUUGGUUCAAAUCCGACUUGGGGCA